GAUGAACGCUAGCUACAGGCUUAACACAUGCAAGUCGAGGGGCAGCAUAAUCGAAGCUUGCUUUUGAUUGAUGGCGACCGGCGCACGGGUGAGUAACGCGUAUCCAACCUUCCCCAUAGUAGGGCAUAGCCCGUAGAAAUGCGGAUUAAUGCCGGAUGUCGUGCGAUGAUGGCAUCAGAGUUGCACGAAAGGCUUGCCGCCUCGGGAUGGGGAUGCGUCUGAUUAGGCAGCAGGCGGGGUGACGGCCCACCUGGCCUUCGAUCAGUAGGGGUUCUGAGAGGAAGGUCCCCCACACUGGAACUGAGACACGGUCCAGACUCC
rnacentral:rRNA from 1 species